UACGUAGGGUGCGAGCGUUGUCCGGAAUUAUUGGGCGUAAAGGGCUCGUAGGCGGUUUGUCGCGUCGGGAGUGAAAACCUCGGGCUUAACUCGGGGCUUGCUUUCGAUACGGGCAGACUGGAGGUAUGCAGGGGAGAACGGAAUUCCUGGUGUAGCGGUGAAAUGCGCAGAUAUCAGGAGGAACACCGGUGGCGAAGGCGGCUCUCUGGAACGCAACUGACGCUGAGACGCGAAAGCGUGGGGAGCAAACAGG
rnacentral:rRNA from 1 species